GCGAUCAUACCAAGACUAAUGCACCGGAUCCCAUCAGAACUUAAGCGUGCUUGGGCGAGAGCAGUACUAGGAUGGGUGACCCGGAAGUCCUCGUGUUGCACCU
rnacentral:rRNA from 1 species